CCCUUAGAUGUUCUGGGCCGCACGCGCGCUACACUGAUUCAUGCAACAAGUUUUGUCCUUGGCUGAUAGGCCUGGGUAAUCUUUGAACGUGAAUCGUGAUGGGGAUAGAUGAUUGCAAUUAUUCAUCUUCAACGAGGAAUUCCUAGUAAACGCAAGUCAUCAGCUUGCAUUGAUUACGUCCCUGCCCUUUGUACACACCGCCCGUCGCACCUACCGAUUGAAUGGUCCGGUGAAAUCUCCGGACUGGCGUGAGUCGGAGCAAUCUGACAAACACCGGAAAGUUGAUUAAACCUUACCAUUUAGAGGAAGGUGAAGUCGUAACA
rnacentral:rRNA from 1 species